GAGGGUAUAGCUCAAGUGGUAGAGCGCAUCCUUAGCAUGCAUACGGUCCUGGGUUCAAGCCCCAGCACCUCCC
rnacentral:tRNA from 1 species